GUGGAAGUAGAUAAAUAACAUGGAGAGCACCCCAGUCACCUGGGCUGUUCUUUUUGUCCUGCCCAGCAGCUGCUCAGGACAUGGAGCAGAGCAGAGGUUUGUUGCUACAUCACCGAGCCUGGCUCAGCGGUGCCCUGGUCCUGGGUUUCCAGACAGAGCAGAUAACAAAUGCUAAAGAUGGGGUGGUCAAUUCCAGCACUGCCACUCUGCUGCUUCCACCAGGCUAAGCUUCAUCUGGGCAAUGGAAAAAGCCAGAGAGAUUUUCUGGCAAGCAUCACGGGAGGAACAACUUGUGCACAGAAGCCCAGGUGCCCUGGGAUCUCGUCAAGAGCUGUUAUAAAAGGAAGGGUGCUACCUCCAUGCUGCAUGAGCUGUGCCACGAUCCUGCUCCUGCUUGCCCAGAGCAGGCACCUGUCCCAAAUGCUUCUCUUUUGACUCACACACCAGGUUCUGCUCCCAGUGAGAGCAAAGCACCAACAUCGAGGUGGGGACAGACAGAGGUUGUCAUAGUCAGUUCAGUCGUUCCUGAGCCUCACUGCCAACAUGGAGGGGAUUCACACUACGCAGGGACUGGGAUGGUUCUGGGCACACCUUUGAGUUUGAGAUUUUGGAAGCCAUCAGAGCAACUGCUGACAUUUGAACCUGACCAAUGCAGAACGGAAAGUGGGAAGUGGCAGCAGAUCCCACAGAAUGUGGGGAGAGCCUCCUUUGAGUACUGAAUCAAAAGCAGAACAAGAAACCAGGCAAGUACUACGACAACUAUAGGCUGCCAUGAGAGCCUUCCCCAGCACAUCACCCAACUGGAAGAAAAAUUUGGCAUGGUCCUGCGUUCCCUGUCUUCUUAUGGUCACAGAAAGCGAUCCAGUUUAAAACAGGCACAGUGAACGUGUGCAUUAUUAUCCAGCAGGGGGAGCCGUGGAUACUGUUUUACUGUUCCCAGAGAAAAUACCAGGAAUGGAGAAAUUAAUAGGCACUAUCUAACGUGAAACAAAGGUAGGCGCCAGUCUUGCUGCUGCUGCAUCCUGGUGGCUCUGCCAGCUGGAUAUGUGGUGCCCAGAUUGCUUGUCAGAAAGUCUUAGAUGUGAAAGUAAGUGAAAGAUGUGAUGCAGACAGCUUUCCUACCAACUGAUCAAAAAGCCCUGAACAGACCUGCUUUGGAAACAGCAAGAGAAGUGCUGCGUAAAGCU
ensembl:lncRNA